UGAGUGGACCAGGUGUGUGUGAGUUUCUACCUGUGGACCAGGUGUGUGUGUUUCUACCUGUGGACCAGGUGUGUGCGUUUCUACCUGUGGACCAGGCGUGUGCGUUUCUACCUGUGGACCAGGUGUGUGCGUUUCUACCUGUGGACCAGGUGUGUGCGUUUCUACCUGUGGACCAGGUUGAGUGGACCAGGUGUGUGUGAGUUUCUACCUGUGGACCAGGUGUGUGCGUUUCUACCUGUGGACCAGGUG